AGCAGCCGCGGUAAUUCCAGCUCCAAUAGCGUAUAUUAAAGUUGUUGCAGUUAAAAAGCUCGUAGUUGAAUUUCGGGAUUGACACAUCGGUCGUGCCUUAAGGGGUAUGAACUGGUGUAGUCAAUUUCUCACCUUCUGGAGAACCGCGAUGCCCUUAAUUGGGUGUCACGGGGAACCAGGACCUUUACUUUGAAAAAAUUAGAGUGUUUAAAGCAGGCAUUUUGCUUGAAUACAUUAGCAUGGAAUAAUAAAAUAGGACGGCAUGAUUCUAUUUUGUUGGUUUCUAGGAUCACCGUAAUGAUUAAUAGGGAUAGUUGGGGGCAUUAGUAUUCAAUUGUCAGAGGUGAAAUUCUUGGAUUUAUUGAAGACUAACUACUGCGAAAGCAUUUGCCAAGGAUGUUUUCAUUAAUCAAGAACGAAAGUUAGGGGAUCGAAGACGAUCAGAUACCGUCGUAGUCUUAACCAUAAACUAUGCCGACUAGGGAUCGGAUGAUGUUAAUUUUUUAAUGACUCAUUCGGCGCCUUACG
rnacentral:rRNA from 1 species